UAUUUUACAGUAGGAAUGAACACAGAUAGUCACCCUAUAUAAAUGUGUAUUUUUUUCAGUUUGAAUCUCUGAAAUUAGCCAUUUUGGAGAUUGUUUAACACUGUGCUGGCCUAUUGUGUGCAGUUAAAGAGUGUGAACGAGUCUGCAAGCCAUCUGUUGGUUCCAGAGCUUUGUCAAUCGUGCGGCAGAACUGUUGUGGAACUUUGUGUGCAGCGUUGGAUUGCUCAAUAAUGAUGUAUUUAAGGCCAGCUGCAGUUAGACAAAUUCCAAAACCCGAUUUCCAUUUGAGUCGACUUCUCUGUCCCUUCUGAAGCAUCAUGAAGAUGAACUUGGUCGUCACCCUCUGCCUCCUUUGCCUCUCUGCUCAGGCAUUAGGAAGGCCACCAUCUGGACCACUUAGGGGUCCUGAAGGAACACGUGGAAUUCGCAACAUUCCCAGAUCUCCACAUGCACCAGUACCAGGAAAAGGAAUCCCUAGGCCCCCUGGAGAUCUUAGAGACCCACGGGCUGACAAAGCAUGUCGUGUUUGUGAAGAGGAUGAAUGGAAUCUAUCUGGCUAAUACAGCAGGGUAGGACAUGGUUCUGAUCUGUCAUAGAGGGCUGUGUCCUCCACACACGUAGGCACCCUUACUGCCUGAAGACUAAAAUUCUCUGCUUGUCUGAUUUGGCCUCUUCAAGUGACCUGAGAUCAGAGUUUGGGUGUUGAGCUCUUAGGAGCCUGGUGGUGAACAGCUGAUCCAGAGUCUGCUAACAAAACGCAAUAAAGCAUCUGAGCA